AUUGAACGCUGGCGGAAUGCUUUACACAUGCAAGUCGAACGGCAGCACGGACUUCGGUCUGGUGGCGAGUGGCGAACAGGUGAGUAAUGUAUCGGAACGUGCCCAGUCGUGGGGGAUAACGUAGUGAAACUUACGCUAAUACCGCAUACGAUCUAUGGAUGAAAGCGGGGGAUCGCAAGACCUCGCGCGAUUGGAGCGGCCGAUAUCAGAUUAGGUAGUUGGUGGGGUAAAGGCCCACCAAUCCAACGAUCUGUAGCUGGUCUGAGAGGACGACCAGCCACACUGGAACAGAGACACGGUCCCGACUCCUACGGGAGGCAGCAGUGGGGAAUUUUGGACAAUGGGCGAAAGCCUGAUCCAGCCAUUCCGCGUGCAGGAUGAAGGCCCUCGGGUUGUAAACUGCUUUUGUACAGAACGAAAAGGUUUCUGUUAAUACUAGGAGCUCAUGACGGUACUGUAAGAAUAAGCACCGGCUAACUACGUGCCAGCCGCCGCCGUAA
rnacentral:rRNA from 1 species